GACGAACGCUGGCGGCGUGCCUAAUACAUGCAAGUAGAACGCUGAAGCUUGGUGCUUGCACCGAGCGGAUGAGUUGCGAACGGGUGAGUAACGCGUAGGUAACCUGCCUUGUAGCGGGGGAUAACUAUUGGAAACGAUAGCUAAUACCGCAUAACAAUGGAUGACACAUGUCAUUUAUUUGAAAGGGGCAAUUGCUCCACUACAAGAUGGACCUGCGUUGUAUUAGCUAGUAGGUGAGGUAACGGCUCACCUAGGCGACGAUACAUAGCCGACCUGAGAGGGUGAUCGGCCACACUGGGACUGAGACACGGCCCAGACUCCUACGGGAGGCAGCAGUAGGGAAUCUUCGGCAAUGGGGGCAACCCUGACCGAGCAACGCCGCGUGAGUGAAGAAGGUUUUCGGAUCGUAAAGCUCUGUUG
rnacentral:rRNA from 1 species